rnacentral:rRNA from 1 species
GAUGAACGCUAGCUACAGGCUUAACACAUGCAAGUCGAGGGACCGGCGCACGGGUAAGUAACACGUAUCCAACCUGCCCUUUACUCGGGGAUAGCCUUUCGAAGGCAAGAUUACUACCCAAUAUAAAGGAUGGGGAUGAGUUCCAUUAGUUUGUUGGUGAGGUAACAGCUCACCAAGCCUUCGAUGGAUAGGGGUUCUGAGAGGAAGGUCCCCUACAUUGGAACUGAGACACGGUCCAAACUCCUACGGGAGGCAGCAGUGAGGAAUAGUGGUGAAUGGGCGCUAGCCUGAACCAGCCAAGUAGCAUGAAGAAUGAAGGCUUAUGGGUCGUAAACUUCUUUUAUAGAAGAAUAUGUAUUAUAUGAAUAAGGAUCGGCUAACUCCGUGCCAGCCGCCGCGGUAAUUC